ensembl:lincRNA
UCCCUUUUCACUUUUUCAUGCUGCUGUGUAUAACACUGGAGAAGGAGCAAGGUCAUGGCUACAGAACUGUGUUAACGUGAGGGUUACAAAAUCUUAGGCGUCCUGGAGGGCUGAGAGCAAGCGGGCCGUCAGUCAGUCACCCAGCACAGCGUGCUUUCUUUGUAACUCUCCUGGGAUUGAUGUUGCAAAUCUCGCGUCCAGGGAAAGCUCUGACUCCUGAGAUAACAAGGACAGCUGGUCGGUCUGAGCUGGCACAUAAACUUCCCUCGGCGGUUCACCAACUGUGAGCAAGCCGCUGAGUCCUCCGAAAGCGAAAGCGUUAAUCACUCAGUCAUGUCUGGCUCUCUGUGACGCCAUGGAAUGUAGCCCCGCCAGGCGCCUCUGUCCACGGGAUUCUCCAGGCAAGAAUACUGGAGUGGGUUGCCAUGCCCUCCUCCAGGGGAUCUUUCCAACUCGGGGAUCGACCUACGUCUUCUGCUUUGGCAGGUGGGUUCUUUACCAUCUGAGCCACCAGGGAAAUCCCCUAAAUCCUCAGACCAGCUCAUCAGAAGGGAGAGCGGCUGACGUGGCCUUUGGCGAAACGCUGCUAAGUGAUCUGGACAGGCCGUUCAGGACUCUGGCGACAUGUGGGCCGAUUUCUGCAUGGAUACUGGAGCAGCCGUCAGAUCAUUUCUGAGCUCUCUCUCCUGCGAGGAAGUCACCUCAACCAGAAAUGGGAAUAAAAGCCAGAAAUCCGCCAUUUACAAAACCUAACCGAGGUGUGCUGACGCCCAGCUCUUUCACGAGAGUGUUCAAACAGUCCCCACAAUGUGCACACGACAAGAGCUGGCCUCUUAAGAAUUCAGAGCAAAUAAGACAACAUGGGUCAGGCUCCCGGCACUGUCAGCUCGAAGCGAAUGAGGACAUUUCCACUGGGGCACCUCCAGGAGGGGGACUUUCAAAGCACUGAGCGUAGUUACGAACCCACCUCACAUGCGCGCCCUGCUUUGUGACUGCAACGUGUUUCCCCCAUGCGUAGCUUCUCUCCUCUGCGGCUUCUGAGCAGAGCCUGUGAAGGAGGCAUGUGCAUUCCCUCCCCAAUCUCGUUGCGGAUAGAGAGACAGGAUGGAGAAUUUUAACGACUGCCUCAACCGUCUUAGAUACUUACGAAAUAGAGGGAUGCUGGGAGAAUCCUGGAGACUAAAUCUGACCCUGCAUUGGUACUCAGGAAACAGAGGGAGGCUGGAAAAUUCCUGGAGAGUAAGUAUGACUCUGUAUUGAUGCUCAGGAAACAGAGAGAUGCAAAAAUUCCUGUAGAAUAAAUCUGACUCUGCAUUGAUGCUCAAAUAGCAGAGGGAGGCUUGAAAAAUCCUGGAGAAUAAAACUGACUCUGCAUUGAUACUCAGGAAAGACAGGGAGGCUGGAAAAGUCCUGCAGAGUAAGUAUGACUCUGUAUUGAUGCUCAGGAAACAGAGGGAGGCUGGGAAAAUCCUGGAGAGUAAAGCUGAUUCUUCUUUGAUACUCAGGAAACAGAGGGAGGCUGGAAAAACCCUGGAGAAUAAAUCUGACUCUGUGUUGGUAUUCAAGAAACAGAAGGAGGCUGGAAAAAUCCUGCAGAAUAAGUAUGACUCUGUACUGAUGCUCAGGAAACAGAGGGAGACUGGAAAAAUCCUGGAGAGUAAAUCUGACUCCAUGUUGCUAGUCAAGAAACAGAGAGGGGCAAAAAUUCCUGCAGAAUAGAUCUGACUCUGCACUGAUAGUCAAAUAGCAGAGGGAGGCUGGAAGAAUCCUGGAGAUAAAUAUGACUCUAUAGUGAUAUUCAAGUAACAGAGCAAUCGUGGAAAAAUCCUGGAGAAUGAAUCUGACUCUGUAUUGGUACUCAGGAAGCAGAGGAAGGCUGAAAAGAUCCUGGAGAGUAAAUCUGACUCUGUAUUGACACUCAAGUAGUAGAGGAAGAUGGGGAAAACCCUGGCAAAUAAAGAUGACUGUAUUGAUACUCAAGAAGCAGAGGCAUGUUGGAAAAAUCCUGGAGAAUGAAUCUGACUCUGUAUUGGUACUCAGGAGGCUAGAAAAGUCCUGUACAGUAAAUAUGACUGUAUUUACUCCCCCACACACCCCCCUAGUUUGGGAGGAGAGUCAACUCAUCAUUCGUGACACCACCAUAUUUGCAACGUACACAGUGUAACCAGUAAAUUCAUCUCUUCCUCCUCGUGCGUGAUGUGUGGAUUUCCAUAUCUGCAACUCAUGUGACGUAACCAGUAAUUCAUUUCUUCCUAGCGUGUGAUGUGUGUGAUUUCUAUCCACAGGAAGAGCUCGUACCCGACCCACCUCAUGAUAAAGAGGACGAUGUGAAAACUCUGCCAUCUGCUCAGUAGAAUUCUAGAGGGAACCAAAGGCACUCUUGAGAGAGGUCGGCAAAGGAGUUAUUGUAUAGACCAUGCAUUGAGCGCUUGUUUGUAUUUGGGGAAAACCAGGAAACAGCAAUGUCACCCCACUCCAGUGCUCUUGCCUGGAAAAUCCCAUCGACGGAGGAGUCUGGUAGGCUGCAGUCCAUGGGGUCACGAAGAGUCAGACAUGACUGAGCGACUUCACUUUGACUUUUUACUUUCAUGCACUGGAGAAGGAAAUGGCAACCCACUCCAGUAUUCUUGCCUAGAGAAUCCCAGGGAUGGAGGAGCCUGCUGGGCUGCCGUCUUUGGGGUCGCACAGAGUCGGACACGACUGAAGCGACUUAGCAGCAGCAGCAGCAGCAAGAAACACCAACACCCUCCCCCACGUGGUUAAGGGAGUCAUGGUGUUGUUUUGUGUUACAAUAUCAUGAAUACUAAUGUUACAUUUUCUUUUUUUGUUUUCUUUUUAAUCGACGAUAAUUGCC